UCAAAGGCUUUCAUGAGAUACUGGAAUUUUCAGGUACGUUCAUACAAGUUUUUGUCUUUAUUUCGAAUCUAAACUCUUUGCACUCAUGAAGAUGAAGGAACCUGAGAUCAUUGAACAUGUUGGCCUUGAUUAUGUUGAGAAUUUACAUCCAUGGCAAUUGAUGGUAUAAUGGCAGAAUUGUAAAUACCACAACCAAGGUUGAUACGGAAGAAGAUAUAUACACUAAAGAUGGAAUUGUUGAUUACAAAAACAACCCUCCUAACAGGAACACUACAGAUACUUAGAAGGCCUGCCCUUUUAUUCUUGUUGGUGUUUCAUGCCUUGGUUUAGACCCUAUCGCUUAUGUACACCUCUCGCUUUUUGAAACCAAGGUUGUUACUCAGUAUUGUUAAUUGGUUAGAUCUUUUUAUCUACGGUGAUUGAAAGUGUACAUGUGGAGGAGAAUCACAUUACUGGUCAAGUUGUUGAACGGAGAAAAUCUCAAGUUGCCGAGCCGAGCCCAGUUUUAGGUGGCAGUGCUGAAUUAUCUAAUUAUUUCCGAACAUAUUGAGCAUGGUGGCCUUCAGUUGCAAAAACCUUUGACUUUAUGAUUUUUUUCGUUGGCUUAAGUAUCAUAUUACUUAUAGGAUUUGGAGUUUUAAUUUUUAAUUAAACU
rnacentral:lncRNA from 1 species